rnacentral:rRNA from 1 species
GCGAAUUCGCCCUUAGAGUUUGAUCCUGGCUCAGGAUGAACGCUAGCGGCGUGCCUAAUGCAUGCAAGUCGAACGGGAACCUUUAGAUUCGUCUGAAGGGGAGAGUGGCGAGCGGGUGGGUAACACGUUGGUGACCUACCCCAGAGAGGGGGAUAACCAUUGGAAACGAUGGCUAAUACCCCGGAUGUCCCUACUGUUAGAGAGUAGUGACUAAAGCUCCGGCGCUCUGGGAGGGGCCUGCGGCCCAUCAGCUAGUUGGUAGGGUAACGGCCUACCAAGGCAGAGACGGGUGGGGGACGUGAGAGCGUGACCCCCCACACUGGUACUGAUACACGGACCAGAUACCUACGGGUAGCAGCAGCAAGGAAUAUUGCCCAAUGGACGAAAGUCUGAGGCAGCAACGCCGCGUGGAGGAUGAAGGCCUUCGGGUUGUAAACUCCUUUUCUGGGGGAAGAGAACGGACGGUACCCCAGGAAUAAGUCUCGGCUAACUACGUGCCAGCAGCCGCGGUAAAACGUAGGAGGCGAGCGUUAUCCGGAUUUACUGGGCGUAAAGCGCGUGCAGGCGGUUUCUUAAGUCGGACGUGAAAGCUCCUGGCUCAACUGGGAGAGGUCGUUCGAAACUAGGGAACUUGAGGAUGGUAGAGGAGAGUGGAAUUCCCGGUGUAGUGGUGAAAUGCGUAGAUAUCGGGAGGAACACCAGU